rnacentral:rRNA from 1 species
AACGAACGCUGGCGGCAGGCUUAACACAUGCAAGUCGAACGCAUCCUUCGGGGUGAGUGGCAGACGGGUGAGUAACGCGUGGGAACGUGCCCUUCAGUCCGGGAUAACCCAGGGAAACUUGGGCUAAUACCGGAUACGUGCGAGAGCAGAAAGGUUUAUCGCUGAAGGAUCGGCCCGCGUCUGAUUAGCUAGUUGGUGGGGUAAUGGCCCACCAAGGCGACGAUCAGUAGCUGGUCUGAGAGGAUGAUCAGCCACAUUGGGACUGAGACACGGCCCAAACUCCUACGGGAGGCAGCAGUGGGGAAUAUUGGACAAUGGGCGCAAGCCUGAUCCAGCCAUGCCGCGUGAGUGAUGAAGGCCUUAGGGUUGUAAAGCUCUUUCGUCCGGGACGAUAAUGACGGUACCGGAAGAAGAAGCCCCGGCUAACUUCGUGCCAGCAGCCGCAGUAA